UGAAUAGUCUAUCUUAAAACUUACAGGAG
rnacentral:piRNA from 1 species